rnacentral:rRNA from 1 species
UACGUAGGGCGCAAGCGUUGUCCGGAAUUAUUGGGCGUAAAGAGCUCGUAGGUGGCUUGUCGCGUCUGCCGUGAAAGCCCGUGGCUUAACUACGGGUCUGCGGUGGAUACGGGCAGGCUAGAGGCUGGUAGGGGCAAGCGGAAUUCCUGGUGUAGCGGUGAAAUGCGCAGAUAUCAGGAGGAACACCGGUGGCGAAGGCGGGUCUCUGGGCCAUAACUGACGCUGAGGAGCGAAAGCGUGGGGAGCGAACAGG